UGGUCAAGUUAUUAAGGUUGCAGGGCGGAUGCCUUGGCACUAGGAGCCGAUGAAGGACGUGAUAAGCUGCGAUAAGCUUCGGGGAGUUGCACGUAAACUUUGAUCCGAAGAUUUCCGAAUGAGGAAACUCACUUAGAGUAAUGUCUAAGUAUCAUUAAGUGAAUACAUAGCUUAAUGAGGGGAACUCAGGGAACUGAAACAUCUAAGUACCUGAAGGAAGAGAAAGAAAUUCGAUUCCGUAAGUAGCGGCGAGCGAACGCGGAUUAGCCCAAACCAAUAAAGUUUUCUUUAUUGGGGUUGCGGACAUAUCAUAACGAAGAGGUAUCGUAAUUGAAGAGGUUUGGAAAGACCCACCACAGAAGGUAAUAGUCCUGUAUGUUAAACGAGAAGACUU
rnacentral:rRNA from 1 species